GGGGUUUAGGCAUAGUUCUUCGGGCUCAUAACCCGAAGGUCGGGAGUUCAAAUCUCCCCCCCGCCA
rnacentral:tRNA from 1 species